AUGGAUGCAAUUUUUUUUAAAAAAAUUUGAGGCUUCAAGUAAGUUAAUUUCGAGGACGAAAUUUUUUUUAAGGGGGAGAGUAUGUAAUACCCCUAAAAAAAAAAAAAGAGAGAAAAAAAAAGAGAGAGGGGUGGAUGGGCCGGCCCGAAAAGACCGGGCCCAUCCACCAUAUAUGAUCGUGCCCUAGGCACGAUCGUUGGAGAAGAAACACAAGGAAAAAAAAAGGGGGGGGGGGGGCAGCGGCGGCGUUGGAGGCGAUCGCCGGGGGAGAUCAAGCGCCGGAGCCGAGAACCGGCCGACCGUGGAGGAAGCUUUAAAGCUCUUCCUUCCUUCAAGAAGAUCCCCACAAAUCGGGUGAAGAAGCUUGGGGAUCCGAGGGUCUUCCUCUCCGAUUUUGUCGCCGGAAAGGCCGCCGGAGCACCCCCAUCAGACCGAGGUAAGCGUGGCUUCUUCCUUGCAUUUUAUUGCUUGGUUUUUGGGUCGUGUGGGAGGGGUUUUUGGCCGGUGAAUCGUCG
rnacentral:lncRNA from 1 species